rnacentral:lncRNA from 1 species
GUAGGGGUUGGUUUUGGUUCUGGUUUAAAAAUUGUCGGUCUUCUUGGAGUAACAUCAUGUCCUGUAUGGUUCUCUGGGUGAAGGCUCGGAUGCGAUUUUGUAAAAACUGAGUGAAUAGGCGCAAGAGGCAGAGCCCAAAGGCCAGGAGAAGGAGGAUAGUUAUAGCAGGGCCAAGGAGGGGAAGUAGCCAGGUGGCCCAAGAACUGAGACACCAAGGGGACCAAGGGGGCCAAGAGGGCCAGGCAGAGGAGCUGUUUUAUUUUCUGAGCUUGGUCUUUGAGCUUCUUGACUGCAUCUUGUACCAAACCUGAUUGGUUGAGAUAAAAACAGCACUGCUCAUCUAAGAAAAUGCAGAGACCUCCUUUUUCAGGGGUAAGUCAAGACCUCUGCAGUUUUGGAGGACUACUGCUGCUAAUGAUUCCAAUUGUGAUUGGAGGUUUGAGACGGCAUUAGCUAUGCCCUCUAUAUGUCCAUAAGGUCUUUUGAGAGUGAGCGAUAGUAGGUGAGGGAAGUGGAUAGGCCUGCUAUUCCAGUUCCUGUGGCAGUGGCAAUUCCUAGUCUGGCAAGUAGGGAUAUGAGUUGUAUGGCUUGACGAUGUUGAACCGAGGCCUGAAUUGGGGUAGGCAGGAAUUGGUUUCCUGGGGCAAUGUCAAUUUUGGGACUAGGAAACACCAGAGUGCAGGUGACAGUCCAAUUGGUGGGGAUGUAGAGAUAAGUUGAGGUGCCACAUAGGAAGAAUAUGCCUGGGCUAGUUAAGCAGAAUUGGUUAUGUAUGUUAAAAAGAUUUGUAAGUUUGUUGUCUUUGUACAUCCAUGCCCCUAGGGUGCUAGCUAAGGCGGCUGUGGUGAGUGGUUGUAAGGGAGUGUAUGGGUUUUUUUUUGGUAGUUUUUGCCUUUACUUUCCCAGUGGAAGGGGAAGCAUUUUGUGUCUAUUAAGAGCUGGUUAGAGGGGUUGUCUUUAAAUGAUGGGAUGAGGAGGCAUUCGUCUGUAGUAGGGGGGAUGAGCUUCACAGGGGGAUGGAGUCCAGGGUUGGAGGAACAAGCAGAGUAGUGUUUUUCAUUACAGUAUCCAGAGUUUAUGUUCUGUAGGAGGGUGAUGUUAACUUUGUGGGGGCUAGGGGAGCUGAAAAGCAUAAGGUAACCCUGAAGAUCUGGAGACUGGUAUGGUCAACUGGGCCCUGGAGUCGUAGGGUAAAAUUACAGUGGCUUGAAGGUGGAGAGUAGAAGAGAGGAUAAUAUAAAGAUCACGCCAAGUGAGUUUGUAAGAUUGGGUAAGGUAUUUGAACUCCUUAAUAUAAGUGUCGGGAUCAGAGAAAAAGGACUCCAGAUGUUUUUCAAUUUGGAAAUGGUCAGAGAGGGAGAAGGGAACAUGGAAAUGCAAAUGAUCCCUUCAGUCCCAGCCACCUCUCAAAGGAUUGCUCUCAUGGAUCUUCAGCCAAGGCUAGAAAUCAAACCAUUCUAGGAUUCACCUGGAAGUGCUGGGAAAAUUGUACUGAAUUUGCUAUUCCAGGGAUAGCUCUGUCUUAGUCUGUUCUCACGCUGCUACUAAAGACAUACUUUCCUUAUAAAGGAAAGAGGUUUAAUUAACUCACAGUUCCACAUGGCUGUGAGGCCUCACAACCAUGGCAGAAAGCAAAGAAGGAACAAAGUCAUGGCGGCAGGCAAGAGAGCUUGUGCAGGGGAACUUCCCUUUGUAAAACCAUAAGAUCUCCUGAGACUUAUUCACUACCAUGAGAACAGUAUGGGGGAAACUGUCCCCAUGAUUCAAUCAUCUCUACCUGUCUGCACCCUUGACACAUGGGGAUUACUACAAUUCAAGGUGAGAUUUGGGUGGGGACACAGUAAAACCAUAUCAGCUCUUUACUCAUUCCAUGACUAUCUAUUAUAGUUAUCAUUUGUAAGCAGUAUCAGAGACACUAGGUAUUCAGUGACAACAGAAAAGAAAUCUUUGUGACCUCAUUGAGAUAAUCUUUUUAACAUGGAAAAGAAUGUAAAGUUGCAAACAAUUGAAUUGCAAAGGAAUUUUUCAGAUUUUGCUGGGAAGAUUUUUGGCUUAGUAUAUCUGAAAAUACCCACAUUUUCAAUUUAUUUUAAGAUAUAAAAUUUGUAGGUACUACUUUUGUGAUAUUUGACGCCAGAUACUUCCUUAUGGCAAGAUCUUUUCCUCUGUACCCCUAGUCCUUUGCUAAAGAGGGGAAUACAAGUUUCUGUAUUACCAGCCUAUAGUACUUGCGGGCCAAUGAGAAGUAAAAUGCAUUAAGUAGUUUAUAAUCCUGCAGUACCCCUUAAGGUUUCUUUCUUCUAUUAUAAUAUUAUGACACAAAUGUCUGGUAGUAAAUAGAUGUGCAAAUAUAGUGAAAUUAUUCUUGUUCUCUAAACUAUCUUAUAAUAAUUAUAUUUACAUAUCUUGUUCUUUCUGUGUUGGUCAGAUAGUUGAAAUGCAUAGUUGUUCUGAAAAAGGGCCUAUAAAUUAGGGAACUUUGAACAAAGAUGACAUCAGUAUUUUUUUUUAUAUGAUAGCAAUUUUAGUGGUUCAUUUCUGAAGAACUUAAUUUGUUUAGCUUAAAAACACAAGAUACUUCACUUAAAAUAUUUGUGAAAAUUAAGAGCAUCAUUAAAAUAAGCAUACUCUGUUGUUUUUGUAAAUAUCAAACAUAAAUAUGAAACAUGGCAGCUCUAUUUAUAAUUACAAAACUUGGAAGCAACCAUAUUGUUUUUCAAUAGGUGAGUGGAUAAACAAACUUUGAUAAAUCAUACAAUAUAAUAUUAUUUAGUGAUAAAAAGAAAUGAACCAAUAAACCACAAAAAGACAUGGAAGAAAAUUAAAUGUAUAUUACAAGGUGAAAGAAAUUAGUCUAAAAAGGCUAAGUACAGUAUGAUUCUCAAAUAUAUGACAUUAUGGUAAAUGCAAAAGAUAGUAAAAAGAUCAGACGUUUCCAGGGGCUUUGUGAAGAGGGUAUGAAAGGUGAGAGAUGGAACCCUGAGCAUUUUCAGGGCAAUAAAACUAUUCUAUAUGAUGCUGUACAGAUGGAUUUAUAACAUUAUACAUUUGUCACAGCUGUAGAAUGUACAACUUAAGAGUGAACACUAAUAUAAACUAUGGAUUUUCCUUGAUAAACUUGUAAUAAUACUGGCUCCUGAAGUGCAAAAAAUGUACCAUACUAAUGCAAGAUCUUGAUAAUAGGGGAAACUCUGUAUAUGUGUGCAUAUGUAUGUGCAUUGGGAGGAGAAUGUAUAUGGAAACUGUAACCUUUGCUCAGUUUUUUUUGAAACUUAAAACUAGUUUAAAAGAAU